AUAAACCCUAAAAUUUGGUUGGUCGUGGAGCGACAGUACUAAGCAAAAGAGACAGUUAUAGAUAUCUAUUUUACAGGCUAAUUAUAGAUUACCCCUGGAAUUAAUUACUUUAACAUUCUGAUCCCUACACUUCAAAUGUUAUAUUAAGAUACGGGUACAAAGUAAAACAUCCCUCGUCUUUGCUGACGGAUAUAUACGACGGUGUUUCUGUAACUCGACAGUGUGAGGAGAAAUAGGAAUCCUAAUGUAACUUUUGAAAGGAUAGAUACCAAGAUGCUAAAGGUAACUAGCCCUUCUUUUGUAUCUCCCUACUACAUGGUUCUUUUCACUCAAAGUCCCCUCUUAAAACACUCGUUUGCCCUGUUAUAGACAUCCUAUGAAUUGUGUGACAAUAAGGAAGAAAGGUGUGCAACGGAAGCCUUAAGUGAAAGAAUGAAAAGAAAGUUGAUACGGAGGCCUACUCCUCCGAGAGACCAAAUGCUCCCUUAAUGGUUGAGAAAAGAUGAAAAUUUUAGCUCACAUCAGCAAAUAUCAACUCGGGCAUUUGUGUAGAUGUCUUACUUUAGGAGUGUAUAGGAGCUAUCAUCAACCUUGAGCUUCUUUAUGCAUGCAAAUUGCAACAAUCGUAAUAUGCAAGAGAGUUCUCUUCAGCAGGUAUAGGAAAAUCCUGCUUAUCUGUUGGAAGGGUCAGACUCCUUCCCCUUUUGUUCAUCUAUUUCAAUAGCAAGAUGCCACGUAGGUGGCUGCAAGUUAUGGGCCACCGGUCAAAAUUUGAUGAUACUGUUUUGAACAAUUGUGGAUAUACUAGCUAUGGUCGUGAUGUGACGAUUAUAAUUUUUUAUGCUAUGACAUGCAAUUCUCUAGUCUUUUAUUCAUGGUUCGUCAUCAGCUACCCAUUGUUUCAAUGUUUAUCAAGUUUAUUCAUUUUUUAUGUAUAUAUGCUCCUGCAAAGUUGCCUAUUCGUGUUUAUGUCCCUCCCAAAUAUUAUUCUGCAACAGUGAUGCAAAGGGCCAAUUUUGUCGUUUCAUAUCAUGAUAGAGCUGUUUUAAUUUUGUUGUAACACCUGUUAAUCGAAGGGGGUACUGAUGCACAAAAGAAUUAGUUCUCAGAGGACAUUGGUGCAAAAUGUCAUGUUGCUGUGAUUAUGCAUACGUAGGCAAUUUUGCAGAGUUGUAGAUGUUGAGAACCUAAGUUUGAUUUAUGGUAAAAUUAGUUCUUCAAACUUGUCCAUGAGCUUGAUGCCUAACCCAGGCACGAUCUUGAAUUCCUUCACUUGUAUCCUGGUGUUUCUGUGAGUAUAUAAAGAAUUCACUUGUAUCCAGAGCUACUUGACUGGCUUGGAAAUUAACAAGGUAUGAUAGUAGACUCUUCCACUAAUAUUCUAUUCCAGAUAUGAAACAUAUUUUGAGAAACUAUUGUAAAAGCUUCGAGAAUAUUUGUACUAUACAAUGACAAAUUAAGGGACCAUCCCAAUCCUAAGCUUAUCCAGUUUCCUUUUCUUGACCUCACUAUUCAUUGCAAGUGCCUGUUUCACUAUUUGGCAUGACCAAUUGCUUUCUUCAGUGUGUCACUGCAAGGAGAGACCCUCU
rnacentral:lncRNA from 1 species